rnacentral:tRNA from 1 species
GAAGUUAUAAGUUAAAUCUAAACUAUUAUCCUUCAAAGAUAAUCAUGGGGUCUUUCUCUAACUUUG